GACGAACGCUGGCGGCGUGCUUAACACAUGCAAGUCGAGCGGUAAGGCCCUUUCGGGGGUACACGAGCGGCGAACGGGUGAGUAACACGUGGGUGACCUGCCCUCAGCUCUGGGAUAAGCCUGGGAAAACCGGGUCUAAUACCGGAUAUGACUCCAUGACGUCAUGUUGUGGGGUGGAAAGCCUUGUGUGGCUGAGGAUGGGCCCGCGGCCUAUCAGUUUGUGGUGGGGUNAUGGCCACCAAGGCGACGACGGUAGCCGGCCUGAGAGGGCGACCGGCC
rnacentral:rRNA from 1 species